rnacentral:snRNA from 1 species
AUCGCUUCUCGGCCUUUUGGCUAAGAUCAAGUGUAGUAUCUGUUCUUAUCAGUUUAAUAAUAAUGUAAAUACUCGUUUGAUAUUCACAAAAGCCCUACAGAGUCAUU